ACGUAGGGGGCGAGCGUUGUCCGAAGUUACUGGGCGUAAAGCGCGCGUAGGCGGGGGGUUAAGUGAGAGGUGAAAGGCUGAGGCUCAACCUCAUGCAGUGCCUCUCAUACUGGCCUUCUUGAGGGCGGUAGGGAGAAGUGGAAUGGCUGGUGUAGCGGUGAAAUGCGUAGAUAUCGGGAGGAACACCAGUGGCGAAGGCGACUUCCUGGCCUGUUCUUGACGCUGAGGCGCGAAAGCUAGGGUAGCAAACGGGA
rnacentral:rRNA from 1 species